AUUGAACGCUGGCGGCAGGCCUAACACAUGCAAGUCGAGCGGCAGCACAGUACUAGCUCGUGCUUUCGGCGGCGGACGGGUGGAUGGUGCAUGGAUAUCUCGCUAUUUAUGUUGUCUAGCGGGAGAAAGCAGGGGAUCAUACCCCAUUAGUCCUGAGGACCUAAGGGGGGAAGCUUCGGACCUCCGGAUAUCGCACGAGUCUAUGUCGGAUUAGCUGGUUGGUGGGGUAAAGGCCUACCAAGGCAACAAUCCGUAGCUGGUCUGAGAGGAUGAUCAGCCACACUGGAACUGAGACACGGUCCAGACUCCUACGGGAGGCAGCAGUGGGGAAUAUUGGACAAUGGGCGCAAGCCUGAUCCAGCCAUGCCGCGUGUGUGAAGAAGGUCUUCGGAUUGUAAAGCACUUUUAUUGGGGAAGAAGGGCAGUAAGUUAAUACCCUGCUGUUUUGACGGUACCAAAAGAAUAAGCACCGGCUAACUUCGUG
rnacentral:rRNA from 1 species